GCCCGGGUGGUGAAAUCGGUAGACACAAGGGAUUUAAAAUCCCUCGAUCGUAAGGUCGUGCGGGUUCAAGUCCCGCCCCGGGCACCA
rnacentral:tRNA from 57 species